GACGAACGCUGGCGGCGUGCUUAACACAUGCAAGUCGAACGAAGUGGCGAACGGGUGAGUAAUACGUGGCUAACCUGACCUCCCUUUUGGGAUAAGCCUUGGAUACGGGGUAUAAUACAGAAUAAAGGGGGAUGGGCUCGCGGCCUAUCAGCUUGUUGGUGGGGGUAUGGCCGACCAAGGCGUUGACGGGUAGCCGGACUGAGAGGGUGCCCAGCGACAUUGGGACUGAGAUACGGCCCAGAGACCUACGUGAGACAGCAGUGGGGGAUAUUGCGCAAUGGGCGAAAGACUGAUGCAGCGACACCGCGUGGGGGAUGAAGACGUUAGGGUUGUAAACCUCUUACGGUAUCGAAAGGGUAGGUGAAGAAGAAGCGCCGGCUAACUACGUGCCAGCAGCCGCGGUAAUAC
rnacentral:rRNA from 1 species